rnacentral:rRNA from 1 species
CCGGCCGGCAGGGGUUAAGUCCACUGGAAAGUGGCGCCACAGAGGGUGACAGCCCCGUGAACCCCUUCAACGCCCUCAUCCCAGAUCUCCAAGAGUCGAGUUGUUUGGGAAUGCAGCUCUAAGUGGGUGGUAAAUUCCAUCUAAAGCUAAAUACCGGCGAGAGACCGAUAGCGAACAAGUACAGUGAUGGAAAGAUGAAAAGCACUUUGAAAAGAGAGUGAAAAAGUACGUGAAAUUGUUGAAAGGGAAGGGCUUGCAAGCAGACACUUAACUGGGCCAGCAUCGGGGCGGCGGGGAGCAAAACCACCGGGGAAUGUACCUUUCGAGGAUUAUAACCCCGGCCCUUACUCCCAUACCGCCCCGAGGCCUGCAAUCUAAGGAUGCUGGCGUAAUGGUU